rnacentral:rRNA from 1 species
CCUACGGGAGGCUGCAGUGGGGAAUAUUGGACAAUGGGGGGAACCCUGAUCCAGCCAUGCCGCGUGUGUGAAGAAGGCCCUCGGGUUGUAAAGCACUUUCAGUGAGGAAGAACGCCUGGUGGUUAAUACCCAUCAGGAAAGACAUCACUCACAGAAGAAGCACCGGCUAACUCCGUGCCAGCAGCCGCGGUAAUACGGAGGGUGCGAGCGUUAAUCGGAAUUACUGGGCGUAAAGCGCGCGUAGGUGGCUUGAUAAGCCGGUUGUGAAAGCCCCGGGCUCAACCUGGGAACGGCAUCCGGAACUGUCAAGCUAGAGUGCAGGAGAGGAAGGUAGAGUUCCCGGUGUAGCGGUGAAAUGCGUAGAGAUCGGGAGGAAUACCAGUGGCGAAGGCGGCCUUCUGGACUGACACUGACACUGAGGUGCGAAAGCGUGGGUAGCAAACAGGAUUAGAUACCCGAGUAGUC